UACGUAGGGGGCUAGCGUUAUCCGGAAUUACUGGGCGUAAAGGGUGCGUAGGUGGUUUCUUAAGUCAGAGGUGAAAGGCUACGGCUCAACCGUAGUAAGCUUUUGGAACUGUAAGACUUGAGUGCAGGAGAGGAGAGUGGAAUUCCUAGUGUAGCGGUGAAAUGCGUAGAGAUUAGGAAGAACACCAGUGGCGAAGGCGAUUCUCUGGACUGUAACUGACGCUGAGGCUCGAAAGCGUGGGGAGCAAACAGGAUUAGAUACCCGCGUAGUCCCUGA
rnacentral:rRNA from 1 species